rnacentral:rRNA from 1 species
ACUUGAAUUGAAGAGUUUGAUCAUGGCUCAGAUUGAACGCUGGCGGCAGGCUUAACACAUGCAAGUCGAACGGUAGCAGGAGAAAGCUUGCUUUCUUGCUGACGAGUGGCGGACGGGUGAGUAAUGCUUGGGAAUCUGGCUUAUGGAGGGGGAUAACGACGGGAAACUGUCGCUAAUACCGCGUAUUAUCGGAAGAUGAAAGUGCGGGACUGAGAGGCCGCAUGCCAUAGGAUGAGCCCAAGUGGGAUUAGGUAGUUGGUGGGGUAAAGGCCUACCAAGCCUGCGAUCUCUAGCUGGUCUGAGAGGAUGACCAGCCACACUGGAACUGAGACACGGUCCAGACUCCUACGGGAGGCAGCAGUGGGGAAUAUUGCGCAAUGGGGGGAACCCUGACGCAGCCAUGCCGCGUGAAUGAAGAAGGCCUUGGGUUGUAAAGUUCUUUCGGUAUUGAGGAAGGUUGAUGUGUUAAUAGACAUCAAAUUGACGUUAAAUACAGAAGAAGCACCGGCUAACUCCGUGCCAGCAGCCGCGGUAAUACGGAGGGUGCGAGCGUUAAUCGGAAUAACUGGGCGUAAAGGGCACGCAGGCGGUUAUUUAAGUGAGGUGUGAAAGCCCCGGGCUUAACCUGGGAAUUGCAUUUCAGACUGGGUAACUAGAGUACUUUAGGGAGGGGUAGAAUUCCACGUGUAGCGGUGAAAUGCGUAGAGAUGUGGAGGAAUACCGAAGGCGAAGGCAGCCCCUUGGGAAUGUACUGACGCUCAUGUGCGAAAGCGUGGGGAGCAAACAGGAUUAGAUACCCUGGUAGUCCACGCUGUAAACGCUGUCGAUUUGGGGGUUGGGGUUUAACUCUGGCGCCCGUAGCUAACGUGAUAAAUCGACCGCCUGGGGAGUACGGCCGCAAGGUUAAAACUCAAAUGAAUUGACGGGGGCCCGCACAAGCGGUGGAGCAUGUGGUUUAAUUCGAUGCAACGCG